CUACCCAAAGGAGGAGGAGGACCAAUCCAGUUUGGAAAGUAGUUCAGUCCCUGCAACAACCUACAAACGUGGAAUGUGGGUUUUAUGUAAUGCGGUAUAUGAAAGACCUCAUUAGAGAUCAAAGCAUCCUAAGAAAACAAAAUUUCAAUGGAAAAAAGACUUGUACGGAAACCAAAAUUGAUAAAGUGCGAGUUGAAUGUAUUAAUUUCGUACUAAAGAAUAUGAGUUGAAAUCCAAUGUAAGUAUGAUAUAACUUUCGUUCUUUAAAUUACUAAUCAACAAUUUCUUUAGUUGGUAAAGAAUAUAAUCACUUCAAGAUUUCAUUUUGGAUUUGUUGAUUCUAUGUAUAUUUGGUUUUAUAACUUUAAAAUAUCUGCUCACACAUUGAAGAUUUUCAUUUUGGAUUUAUUGAUUCUAUGUAUAUGUCAUAUUUAUAUAUGGUAAUCCAAACAUUUUAUAUUAGUAACAAUCAAAGUUCUUAUUCCUUUUCUAUUGAUGCAAGAUAUGAAGAGUUAGUGUGAUGAGAAAAGGUUCGAUUUUGUCUUUUGUAAGUCUCUACAAAAGUAUUAAGUUUAUUCAUAUGCUUCUAGCGGUUUCUGAAUUAAUUUGUGUUUUUAUU